UACGUAGGUUGCGAGCGUUGUCCGGAAUUACUGGGCGUAAAGAGCUCGUAGGUGGUUUGUCGCGUUGUCCGUGAAAACUCACAACUCAAUUGUGGGCGUGCGGGCGAUACGGGCAGACUGGAGUACUGCAGGGGAGACUGGAAUUCAUGGUGUAGCAGUGAAAUGCGUAGAGAUCAUGAGGAAGACCAGUGGCGAAGGCGGGUCUCUGGACAGUUCCUGACACUGAGACACGAAGGACAGGGGAGCAAACGGG
rnacentral:rRNA from 1 species